rnacentral:rRNA from 2 species
UUAAUUGAAGAGUUUGAUCAUGGCUCAGAUUGAACGCUGGCGGCAGGCCUAACACAUGCAAGUCGAGCGGCAGCACAGAGGAACUUGUUCCUUGGGUGGCGAGCGGCGGACGGGUGAGUAAUGCCUGGGAAAUUGCCCGGUAGAGGGGGAUAACCAUUGGAAACGAUGGCUAAUACCGCAUAACCUCGCAAGAGCAAAGCAGGGGACCUUCGGGCCUUGCGCUACCGGAUAUGCCCAGGUGGGAUUAGCUAGUUGGUGAGGUAAGGGCUCACCAAGGCGACGACCCCUAGCUGGUCUGAGAGGAUGAUCAGCCACAC